UAUUUGCCAAGGUCUGUCCGCAGAUCACGGGACUAUAGGGAGACCGCUGGCGCGAAGUCAGAGGAAGGCGAGGGCAACGGUAGGUCAGUAUGNUCCGAAUGCUAUGGGCUACACGCGCAAUACAAAGGACGGGACAAUGGGCUGCAANUCCGAGAGGAAUGACGCUAUCCCGAAACCCGUUCGUAGUUCGGAUUGAGGGCUGUAACUCGCCCUCAUGAAGCUGGAUUAGGUAGUAAUCGCGUCUCAAAAAGGCGCGGUGAAUAUGCCCCUGCUCCUUGCACACACCGCCCGUAAAACCAUCUUAGUUGUGGGUGGGUGAGGCUGCCUCUCUUUCGAGAUGUGGUAUUCGAGCCUGCCUUCGACAAGGAGGGUUAAGUCGUAACAAGGUA
rnacentral:rRNA from 1 species